rnacentral:rRNA from 1 species
UACGGGGGGGGCAAGCGUUGUUCGGAAUUACUGGGCGUAAAGGGCUCGUAGGCGGCCAACUAAGUCAGACGUGAAAUCCCCAGGCUCAACCUGGGAACUGCGUCUGAUACUGGAUGGCUUGAGUUCGGGAGAGGGAUGCGGAAUUCCUGGUGUAGCGGUGAAAUGCGCAGAUAUCAGGAAGAACACCAAUGGCGAAAGCAGCUCUCUGGGACGGUACUGACGCUGAGACGCGAAAGCGUGGGGAGCGAACAGG